AUUGAACGCUGGCGGCAUGCCUUACACAUGCAAGUCGAACGGUAACGGGCCUUCGGGUGCCGACGAGUGGCGAACGGGUGAGUAAUGUAUCGGAACGUACCUUUCAGUGGGGGAUAACGUAGCGAAAGUUACGCUAAUACCGCAUAUUCUGUGAGCAGGAAAGCAGGGGAUCGCAAGACCUUGCGCUGAUUGAGCGGCCGAUAUCAGAUUGGCUAGUUGGUGAGGUAAAGGCUCACCAAGGCGACGAUCUGUAGCGGGUCUGAGAGGAUGAUCCGCCUCACUGGAACUGAGACACGGUCCAGACUCCUACGGGAGGCAGCAGUGGGGAAUUUUGGACAAUGGGGGCAACCCUGAUCCAGCCAUGCCGCGUGAGUGAAGAAGGCCUUCGGGUUGUAAAGCUCUUUCGGCCGGGAAGAAAUCGUAUCAGCUAAUACCUGGUGCGGAUGACGGUACCGGCAUAAGAAGCACCGGCUAACUACGUGCCAGCCGCCGCCGUAAUAC
rnacentral:rRNA from 1 species